UCUUGUUAAGAUGCAGAUUCUGGUUCAUGGCCUAGGAUUCUGCAUUUGUAACAAGCU
rnacentral:pre_miRNA from 1 species